rnacentral:rRNA from 1 species
GGGUGAGUAAUGCCUAGGAAUCUGCCUGGUAGUGGGGGAUAACGCUCGGAAACGGACGCUAAUACCGCAUACGUCCUACGGGAGAAAGCAGGGGACCUUCGGGCCUUGCGCUAUCAGAUGAGCCUAGGUCGGAUUAGCUAGUUGGUGGGGUAAUGGCUCACCAAGGCGACGAUCCGUAACUGGUCUGAGAGGAUGAUCAGUCACACUGGAACUGAGACACGGUCCAGACUCCUACGGGAGGCAGCAGUGGGGAAUAUUGGACAAUGGGCGAAAGCCUGAUCCAGCCAUGCCGCGUGUGUGAAGAAGGUCUUCGGAUUGUAAAGCACUUUAAGUUGGGAGGAAGGGCAUUAACCUAAUACGUUAGUGUUUUGACGUUACCGACAGAAUAAGCACCGGCUAACUCUGUGCCAGCAGCCGCGGUAAUACAGAGGGUGCAAGCGUUAAUCGGAAUUACUGGG